rnacentral:misc_RNA from 1 species
UCCUCCCUCAAACCCCUGGGGUUUGGUGUUGGACUCUGUUGUGCGGUGUUGGCACAACUGGUCUCAAAGACAAUGACGGCGUCCGUGGGACCCUCGGUGCAACGAGCUUUUCGAAGCACGCGUCGAGUGGACAGUCUCUCCGGGCCGGUCUCCUUUUUCCAUUUUUCUAA